rnacentral:tRNA from 1 species
GGUCUGUUGUCUUCAGUCGACGCUGUGGGAUAACCCUCUCAAGGCGGAGAUCACCGGUUCGAAUCCGGUACGGGCUACCA